AUCAAGUGGUCUGCGGUGGCGUGAGGAGUGUUUCGUGAGCGCAAUGACGGAGUAUUGAGAGUGAAAAUAGCAUCCAAAAGUAAUUAAUCUCUGAAAUUGCAGCAAGAAAGCGUAGAAUGUGUAAUGAAAAUUGCUGUGCGAGAGACUCCCAUUGUGAAGCGCCGAGUGUGAAGUAGUGUAUGAAAUUCUCAGUUUGCGACACGCUCAUUUCCCUGAGACGUUGGUGGAGCAGCAAUUCAUCCCCUUGGAAAAUUUUGGGUGCAAUUCUGCGUGACUGGUGAACGGGCCAAGGAGGAUUUUCCACUCUGAUCGCACGGGCAAUUGUGAAUGCGAUCUGUCGUGGUGGCGAGGCGUCGUCAUGUCGUAGCUCAUUGUGGAUGUGAGAUCGCGAGUGACUCUUGGGACGUGUGAAUUGAAGUGCUUCGUUCUGGACACUCACACGAUGUUGCUUCUGAGCGCCCUGGCGCUGGGCCUGGUGGAGUCCACUGGCCAGAACGUGGCCAAUGGCGUUGCGCGCAGCGUGGACGUGAGUGGCGAGGAGAUGUGGGAGAGCAACACGACCUUCCGGCUGGAUCCGUCGCCCGUGGAGUGGGCGAUCGGCAUGGAUUUGACCGCGGCGUGCCCGACGCUACGUCGCCCGCAUCAUCUCUACUACCAGCUCGGCAAUGCCCUGAUGGCGGUGGCCUUCCUGGCGCCCGGCGGCCCUUACGGCCAGCUGUGGCUGCGAAGUGUCCUUGUGAUCGGAUGUGUUCUCAUGGCAAUGUGGGGGUGGCUCGUGGAGUGCACAGUGGAUGCCUUCGUGUGGGCCAUCGUGUUCCUUGUGAUUAAUUUUAUACAUGUGAUUGUGCUCCUCUUCCGUCUGCGCCCCGUCAAGUUCGAGAAGGAAAUUGAAUCGGUGUACGCAGCACUUUUUCAGCCUCUCCGUGUUUCGCGUCAUCAGUUCAAGAAAGUCCUCAACUGUAUGAAACUGGUGCGCUCACUGAAGUACCAAGAAGUCUAUGCACAAGAAAAAGUCACCAAAGUGGACAGUUUGUCCUUGGUGUUGUCGGGAAAGCUAGUCGUAUCGCAAAAUCAAAGAGCACUUCACAUAGUGUUUCCUCAUCAGUUUCUGGAUUCUCCUGAGUGGUUUGGAGUGUCCACGGAUGACUAUUUUCAAGUGUCAAUAAUGGCCAUGGAGGAGUCAAGAGUUCUCAUCUGGCAUCGGGACAAGUUGAAAUUGUCCAUAAUGGCAGAACCAUUUCUCCAGGCUGUUUUUGAUCACAUCCUCGGCCGGGAUGUGGUGAAGAAGCUCAUGCAGGUGACUCAGGUGAGCGAAACGAUGGCCGCCAGCAAUGGUUUCAUAUCAUCAGGAUAUGACGAUGCCGAGGACAAACCCAUGCUGCUCAUGAAGAAGAGUGGCGAUGGUCAUGGCAUAACAGCGCUAAUCAAUCGUCAACUUCAAGAGGAGCAUGUCCCAUUGCUCGGAAGUUCCUAUCGAGCGUUCCUGCCGUCAAUGGUUGCAUCUACUGAUCUCAAAACGUCUACUUGCUGAACAUCAUGACCCUCACACUCACUUUCUCCCACAUCUAAUCGUAGAUGUUUUGUUGCAAUAUUUCUUGUAUUUCGUGUGUGAUUCCGUUUGUUUUUGCGUUAAACGUGUGGACAAUGACUUGAUUUAUUAUCACAUUUCUCUCUGGUGUAAACAUUAAUAGACUAUUUUGUCCGGAAUCCAAGUGUGAAAUCUCUAUCAUUUGGACAGCAUGAGCUCUCGAUAAAUACUUUUGCCAUCCUAUCUUUAUUUCGCUCUCUUUCUCUAUCUCUCAACAAUUUAACGCUUCUCCUUCUGACUACUUCGUGAAGUAAAUGAAUCCAAAGAACAAAUACAAUAAAAUUCACCUCAUGCUGAAUUCGCACUAAGUUAGAAAUUCUAUGAUUCUCCUCGGAAGCUCUUCAGUUGAUAUUUGGAUGACAUGAAGAUUUAGUGACUUUGCCACUGUUCUUGCUUCUUUAAAUUUGUAAAAGAAACAUUUUCUUUUGCCUAGCUCUGCCUAGGAUAUCUAAAUAUUAUUAUUGCGCUGGCGAUCCGAAUGCUUGGCGCUUGGGAAGAAUAGAGGAGGCUGACCACGAGACGGCUGUUUAAUGGCAUGGACAAACCAAAGAAGAAUGUGGAUUUAUUGACAGUUUUUCGUU